AGAAAUAUUCCUUCAAUCUCUCUCGAUCCUUCUUCGGCGGACCGGCUGCCUAUCCGUCAUCUUCGUGUUGUCGGCGGCGGCGAGAGCAUGGCGAUGUUGCCGGACGAGAUAUGGGCUCAUAUCUUGGAGAUCGGCACCGACUCGGCCAGCCUCACCUACCGCGACCUCUGCGCCCUCGCCAUGGCUUCCCGCCGCCUCAGCCGCCUCUCAGCCGAACCCGCCCUGUGGUCUACCCUCCUCGCCAUCGACUUUCCUGACGGAGAAAAAGUCUCCCCGUCACCCAAAGCCCUCUACCAGACUAGAUUCAAGUUGGAAAAAGCAAAGAGGGCCGCCCUUCAGAGAGCGAAGAUGCUCUUCGCACAGAGUAAGGUAGCUGUUUCUCGGAAGAGGCUGCAAGAGCUGAAGUUGUCGUUGGUGCGGGAAGGCGACCGGCUCAAGGCCGCUGUCGAAGAGUUGAGAAACUUGGAGAGAGCCAGGACUGCAUCUGUUGCUCUAAAUGUAUGGCAGCCAGAGGUCGUUCGUGGGAGACAGAAGCAGAUAGUUGAGCAGUGCACUGUACCAAUCGAAUCUCGUGUCUGUGCUCUAAAGAUGGAGGUUCAAGUCUGUAAGCAACAGAUUGCUAAUUUUAACAAGACUUAUGAGGAGGAGAAGAAAAAAUUAGGGAAGCACAAACAGGCACUGGCAUCGCUGGAAUAUCAUCCACUUCAAAGCCAUUUUAAUUCAACCCCCAGUGAUUCUAACAAAAGGAAAAGACUGGAGUUAAGUAGUGAUUCAAAGCUUUCUAGUGCUGCUUUCGAAUGGGACGAACAAGAAAAGGCAGAGAGCUUCUGAUUAAGCUCUCUUUGUAUGCUGCAUGUACCAUAGCAUUCCAUCUUUGAUUACGAUCAACCUGCAACACAGGACUACUUACAGCUUAAAGAUCAUGUAUCAGCUCUCGCUUUGAAGCUACCUAAAGAAAUCUUUUCGACAAAACACACACACAAAGAAAAAGAAAAAGAAAGGAAACUCAUGUGCAGGGUCCUUGCACACAAGUGUUGUUUGAUGAUAUGAGGCGAUAAUACGAGUUGAUAAAUCGUCGGGCAACUAGUGAAUCUUUUUCAGAAGGAUCCCUCGGAGAGAUUGCUAUAAAAAGCUCAUGUUGUCGUUCGAGCUGAGUGGACUGGAUAUUCAUCUUUGUAACUUAAAUCAAAUUUGACGAUAGAUCAUAAUGGAGCAGGAUCUUCAGAAGCGGAUCAGGUCUGAUUGGAAGGAUUUAAUGAUUUUUAUUUGCCAAAUAGAUGAGGAUCAUUGAAUCCCUCUAAUCACUGCCCUUGAUCCGCGGGUGGAUCAGGGCAGAGGGGAUCAGAGGAUCUCGUCUGAUCAUAAUGAGAAUGUUAUUAUUUAAGAAUGAUACAAUAGAUAUAGUUCAUCUGAUUGAGAUAUUUAUUAGAAUUCAAUAAUAGAUGUUUUUGUUCGAAAGUGGAGAAGAUGGUUAGCUGGAAAUGUGGCUGAAAAGUUGAUGAAGUGAAGACUCCCCGUGGUUAUGUAACACAAAAGUGUCAAUACCGAGAUGGGAAGGGGUUUUCGGCGUUGGCUCUGUGAUGUUCAAAUUAGUCUCCGACGAUGUAGAAAAUAUCAAAAAUGUUGUAGUAAAUAUAUCUGUUCUUGUAGA